CCCUUCUCUGUGGGUCGCACUCGUUGGCUUUGGGCAUCGGCUACAUUGUAAAGAAGAAGAAAAAGGAGAAGAAACAGGAGAUUAGCAGCAAUAAUAGUGAAGGUCGCUACCAGAAUUCCUUGCUCUGAACGGGAGAAAACGGAUGACCUCUUCAAAAUUUCCCGUCUCUCCGUGGAUCCUGAAAGGUCAUGUCCGAAAGGAAGCGUGAAAUAUAAAAGGAAGCAAUUGACCUGACCUUAUUGGGGUCACUGAGCUGAAUCGUUGUCUAUAGAUCGGGUUAAGGUUAAUUUUCACCGGGAUAUGUCCGCCUCGUUCUGAAUUCUGUGUCUGAUUAUCUGUGCAAUUUUCCAAUAAAGUUUGAUAGAAGAGAA